rnacentral:rRNA from 1 species
GUAGGGAAUAUUGGGCAAUGGAUGCAAGUCUGACCCAGCCAUCCCGCGUGCCGGAAGAAGGCCCUCAGGGUUGUAAACGGCUUUUGACGGUGAAGAAUCGACAGGAUGCGUCCUGUUUUGACGGUAGCCGUUGAAUAAGCACCGGCUAACUCCGUGCCAGCAGCCGCGGUAAUACGGAGGGUGCGAGCGUUGUCCGGAUGUAUUGGGUUUAAAGGGUGCGUAGGCUGGAAGGUCAGUCAGCGGUGAAAAGCUGUCGCGUAACGAUAGUCUUGCCGCAGAUACUUCCGUGCUUGGAUGAGGAGGAGGCCACUGGAACGGAUGGUGUAGCGGUGAAAUGCAUAGAUAUCAUCCAGAACACCGAUUGCGAAGGCAGGUGGCUGUACCUUAAUCGACGCUGAUGCACGAAAGCAUGGGGAGCAAACAGGAUUAGAAACCCGUGUAGUCC